rnacentral:rRNA from 1 species
AUUGAACGCUGGCGGCAGGCCUAACACAUGCAAGUCGAGCGGAUGAAGGGAGCUUGCUCCUGGAUUCAGCGGCGGACGGGUGAGUAAUGCCUAGGAAUCUGCCUGGUAGUGGGGGAUAACGUCCGGAAACGGGCGCUAAUACCGCAUACGUCCUGAGGGAGAAAGUGGGGGAUCUUCGGACCUCAUGCUAUCAGAUGAGCCUAGGUCGGAUUAGCUAGUUGGUGGGGUAAAGGCCUACCAAGGCGACGAUCCGUAACUGGUCUGAGAGGAUGAUCAGUCACACUGGAACUGAGACACGGUCCAGACUCCUACGGGAGGCAGCGGUGGGGAAUAUUGGACAAUGGGCGAAAGCCUGAUCCAGCCAUGCCGCGUGUGUGAAGAAGGUCUUCGGAUUGUAAAGCACUUUAAGUUGGGAGGAAGGGCAGUAAGUUAAUACCUUGCUGUUUUGACGUUACCAACAGAAUAAGCACCGGCUAACUUCGUG